rnacentral:rRNA from 1 species
AUUGAACGCUGGCGGCAGGCCUAACACAUGCAAGUCGAGCGGAUGAAGGGAGCUUGCUCCUGGAUUCAGCGGCGGACGGGUGAGUAAUGCCUAGGAAUCUGCCUGGUAGUGGGGGAUAACGUCCGGAAACGGGCGCUAAUACCGCAUACGUCCUGAGGGAGAAAGAGGGGGAUCUUCGGACCUCACGCUAUCAGAUGAGCCGAGGUCGGAUUAGCUAGUUGGUGGGGUAAAGGCCUACCAAGGCGACGAUCCGUAACUGGUCUGAGAGGAUGAUCAGUCACACUGGAACUGCGACACGGUCCAGACUCCUACGGGAGGCAGCAGUGGGGAAUAUUGGACAAUGGGCGAAAGCCUGAUCCAGCCAUGCCGCGUGUGUGAAGAAGGUCUUCGGAUUGUAAAGCACUUUAAGUUGGGAGGAAGGGCAGUAAGUUAAUACCUUGCUGUUUUGACGUUACCAACAGAAUAAGCACCGGCUAACUUCGUG